GUAAACGGCGGCCGUAACUAUAACGGUCCUAAGGUAGCGAAAUUCCUUGUCGGGUAAGUUCCGACCUGCACGAAUGGCGUAAUGAUGGCCAGGCUGUCUCCACCCGAGACUCAGUGAAAUUGAACUCGCUGUGAAGAUGCAGUGUACCCGCGGCAAGACGGAAAGACCCCGUGAACCUUUACUAUAGCUUGACACUGAACAUUGAGCCUUGAUGUGUAGGAUAGGUGGGAGGCUUUGAAGUGUGGACGCCAGUCUGCAUGGAGCCAACCUUGAAAUACCACCCUUUAACGUUUGAUGUUCUAACCUAGGCCCAUAAACUGGGUCGGGGACCGUGUCUGGUGGGUAGUUUGACUGGGGCGGUCUCCUCCUAAAGAGUAACGGAGGAGCACGAAGGUUGGCUAAGCAUGGUCGGACAUCAUGCGGUUAGUGCAAAGGCAUAAGCCAGCUUGACUGCGAGAGUGACGGCUCGAGCAGGUACGAAAGUAGGUCUUAGUGAUCCGGUGGUUCUGAAUGGAAGGGCCAUCGCUCAACGGAUAAAAGGUACUCCGGGGAUAACAGGCUGAUACCGCCCAAGAGUUCAUAUCGACGGCGGUGUUUGGCACCUCGAUGUCGGCUCAUCACAUCCUGGGGCUGAAGUAGGUCCCAAGGGUAUGGCUGUUCGCCAUUUAAAGUGGUACGCGAGCUGGGUUUAGAACGUCGUGAGACAGUUCGGUCCCUAUCUGCCGUGGGCGUUGGAAGAUUGAGAGGGGUUGCUCCUAGUACGAGAGGACCGGAGUGAACGCACCACUGGUGUUCGGGUUGUCAUGCCAAUGGCAUUGCCCGGUAGCUAAGUGCGGAAGAGAUAACCGCUGAAAGCAUCUAAGCGGGAAACUUGCCUCGAGAUGAGUCUUCCCUGUCGCUUUAAGCGACCUAAAGGAACGUUUAAGACUAAGACGUUGAUAGGCUGGGUGUGUAAGCGUAGCGAUACGUUGAGCUAACCAGUACUAAUGAACCGUGAGGCUUAACCUG
rnacentral:rRNA from 1 species